rnacentral:rRNA from 1 species
GUCGUGAGUAUUGGUUUGGGUUAACGUCCCGCAGCGAGCGCUAACCCUUUAUUGCUAGUUACCAUCAUUAAGUUGGGGACUCUAGCGAGACUGCCAGUGAUAAACUGGAGAAGGUGGGGAUGACGUCAAAUCAUCAUGCCCCUUAUGACCUGGGCUACAAACGUGAUACAAUGGCUGAAACAAAGGGCAGCGAAGCAGUGAUGUGAAGCGAAACCCAAAAAAGCAGUCUCAGUUCGGAUUGAAGUCUGCAACUCGACUUCAUGAAGUCGGAAUCGCUAGUAAUCGCGAAUCAGAACGUCGCGGUGAAUACGUUCUCGGGGUUU